CAGAACGAACGCUGGCGGCGCGUUUAAGCAUGCAAGUCGAGCGGUAGUAGCAAUACGAGAGCGGCGGACGGGUGAGUAACACGUGGGUAAUCUGCCCUUCGGUCGGGAAUAGCCUGUGGAAACACAGGAUAAUACCGGAUGCGAUGGUCUUCACACAAGUGGAGGUCAGGAAAGGAGCCAAGGCUCCGCCGGAGGAUGAGCCCGCGUCCCAUUAGCUAGAUGGUGAGGUAAAGGCCCACCAUGGCGAUGAUGGGUAGCCGGCCUGAGAGGGUGAACGGCCACAUUGGAACUGAGACACGGUCCAGACUCCUACGGGAGGCAGCAGCUAAGAAUCUUCCACAAUGGACGAAAGUCUGAUGGAGCGACGCCGCGUGGGCGAUGAAGGCCGUGAGGUUGUAAAGCCCUUUUCGUGAGGGGGAAUAAUGCGGGCAGGGAAUGGCCUGCAGAUGACGUGAAUCAAGGAAUAAGCCCCGGCUAACUACGUGCCAGCCGCCGC
rnacentral:rRNA from 1 species